rnacentral:rRNA from 1 species
CUUGCUUUCUCCGCCGGCGACCGGCGCACGGGUGAGUAACACGUAUGCAACCUGCCCCUGUCAGGGGGACAACCCGCCCGAAAGGCGGGCUAAACCCGCGUACAUGCCACCGGGGCAUCCCGGAGGCAGGAAAGGCUUCGGCCGGACAGGGAUGGGCAUGCGGCGCAUUAGGUAGUAGGCGGGGUAACGGCCCACCUAACCGACGAUGCGUAGGGGUUCUGAGAGGAAGGUCCCCCGCACUGGUACUGAGACACGGACCAGACUCCUACGGAAGGCAGCAG